UUACUGUUCCGCUGUUGAGCGUAACAGUAGAUAAUACAUACAGUCUUCAGAAUAAGUGUCUCACUGUCAAUAAAAUGAUAGAUGAAUUUUUUGGCGAGCAAGAUAACAUUUACCAAAAAAUUGAGAGCUUAAAACAAAUUAUCAUGGACUUGUCACCAAUUAAAUCACAAUCUAUUGAUGCUGGUAAGAUUUGAUAGAAAUCUGUAUAGUUAAUUCAGAAGCAGAAGCCGAGAUUAACACAUUUACAACAGAAGAUUAGCGAAAUUGUGUUUUCUUCUUCUUUAU